rnacentral:rRNA from 1 species
UACGUAGGUGGCAAGCGUUGUCCGGAUUUACUGGGCGUAAAGGGCGUGCAGGCGGUUUGUUAAGUGCAGGGUGAAAGCUCCCGGCUCAACUGGGGAGGGUCACGCGAUACUGGUCGACUCGAAGGCAGGAGAGGGUAGUGGAAUUCCCGGUGUAGUGGUGAAAUGCGUAGAUAUCGGGAGGAACACCAGUGGCGAAGGCGACUACCUGGCCUGUUCUUGACGCUGAGGCGCGAAAGCUAGGGGAGCAAACGGG